rnacentral:rRNA from 1 species
CCUACGGGAGGCAGCAGUGGGGAAUAUUGCACAAUGGGCGCAAGCCUGAUGCAGCAACGCCGCGUGAGGGACGAAGGCCUUCGGGUUGUAAACCUCUUUUAGCAGGGAAGAAGCGAAAGUGACGGUACCUGCAGAAAAAGCGCCGGCUAACUACGUGCCAGCAGCCGCGGUAAUACGUAGGGCGCAAGCGUUGUCCGGAAUUAUUGGGCGUAAAGAGCUCGUAGGCGGUUUGUCGCGUCUGCUGUGAAAAUCCGAGGCUCAACCUCGGACCUGCAGUGGGUACGGGCAAACUAGAGUGCGGUAGGGGAGAUUGGAAUUCCUGGUGUAGCGGUGGAAUGCGCAGAUAUCAGGAGGAACACCAAUGGCGAAGGCAGAUCUCUGGGCCGUAACUGACGCUGAGGAGCGAAAGCGUGGGGAGCGAACAGGAUUAGAUACCCUUG